AACAAAUGAGAUUAGGCUCCGCCUACCGCGAUCAUUUGAAGACAAAAAUAAGCCCUCAUUGACAUUCAUGAGCAUGAAGAUAUUCAUAAUCCGGCCUUUUCAUUGGCUAAGAGCGUCAUUAAUACGCGAUUUCCCCGAUUCUUUGUCAUCGAUACUAGUGGUAUCGUGUUACAGAAUUAAUUAUUCAUUUGACCUCAUUACGUCAUCUAAUUUAUUCAUUCUGAAACUUUUCUUUCCACACACAAAAUGGACCUACGAACACUCCGGUUGAGUUUGAAGAACAAGAAAAACAGUAGAGGUCUACCUAUAUGGUUCAAGAUGAUGAUCAUAAGUGCAUGCAUCAUUUUGCCGAUUCUCAUCCAGGAUGAUGCAGUUUUACAAUUUCCAUGGAGGUGAUUGAUGAUGAUAAAUAAUUGGUGAAGGAGGCCUAAUAGAACAGCGACUAGACCACAAAGAGAAAUACAACCUACAGCAGUUAUAUGAGACUGGUGUAACAGAUGUUUUCAUUCAAGAAAUCCAACAAUUCAAGAGUCUGACUUAGGAACCACUUGAUGAAGAUGGAAAAGGUUUUUUUUUUCCAAGUCCAAUUUUUCAAAAAAAAAAAAAUUAUUAUUACAACCCCAAAUUCAUGACGUAUGAAAUUUCUUGUUGAUUUUCAUUAAAACUGGUUGCAAAAGGAGAAGCUAUAAACAUACAAAUAGGAGCGGCGGAGUGAAGUUGAAAGUGGGGGGGGCAUAGGGAAAAUGCUGUAUUA